GAUGAACGCUGGCGGCGUGCCUAAUACAUGCAAGUCGAGCGAACAGAUAAGGAGCUUGCUCCUUUGACGUUAGCGGCGGACGGGUGAGUAACACGUGGGUAACCUACCUAUAAGACUGGAAUAACUCCGGGAAACCGGGGCUAAUGCCGGAUAACAUUUAGAACCGCAUGGUUCUAAAGUGAAAGAUGGUUUUGCUAUCACUUAUAGAUGGACCCGCGCCGUAUUAGCUAGUUGGUAAGGUAACGGCUUACCAAGGCAACGAUACGUAGCCGACCUGAGAAGGUGAUCGGCCACACUGGAACUGAGACACGGUCCAGACUCCUACGGGAGGCAGCAGUAGGGAAUCUUCCGCAAUGGGCGAAAGCCUGACGGAGCAACGCCGCGUGAGUGAUGAAGGUCUUCGGAUCGUAAAACUCUGUUAUUAGGGAAGAACAAAUGUGUAAGUAACUGUGCACGUCUUGACAGUACCUAAUCAGAAAGCCACGGCUAACUACGUG
rnacentral:rRNA from 1 species